GCAGCGGUAGUUCAGUUGGUUAGAAUACCGGCCUGUCACGCCGGGGGUCGCGGGGUCGAGCCCCGUCCGCUGCGCCA
rnacentral:tRNA from 5 species